rnacentral:rRNA from 1 species
CAUCUAGGCGGUCAAUCAAGUCGAAGGUGAAAACUUGUGGCUCAACCAUAAGCUUGCCUACGAAACUGAUUAACUAGAGUACUGGAGAGGUGGACGGAACUACACGAGUAGAGGUGAAAUUCGUAGAUAUGUGUAGGAAUGCCGAUGAUGAAGAUAGUUCACUGGACAGAAACUGACGCUAGAAGUCGAAAGCUAGGGGAGCAAACA